CUAGCUUCCCUCGUCUAUUUAGAAAGCUGCGACCGAAGCCUAAGCUAUUCACCUCUCCGUGCUCCUCGCGUCCGCCACCCUAGAAAGAUCACGGGAGCCCUCGGUGUGGUGUCCGCGCAGAAGUUAGGGGGGCACCACGGAUUGUGGUGUAGCGUCUUCACAUCGGCGAGGACGCAUACCCUAGGAGCAUCGCAAGAUCACACCAAGCGUACCCGUGGAGGUGGUGGGCUCUGACGGUAGGGGUAGAAGAGUGGAUUGCUCGCCGGAGUUCAACGAGAGCCUCCGUCCGCCCCACGCCCGGUUCUGCGCGCACGUCAUCACGAUUUUCGGGCUGUCGCCGGUGAUGUUCCGCCAUAUGGGGACGGUGGCGCCGCCAUUCAAAACGAAACGGGUGAGGAAAAAUGGCGUAUGCCGUUGAUGAGCAAGCGAAUGGCUGGGAUUAUCCGGCGCGUACCCGUUCGGCGGUGUCAAUCCGGACCGUCCAUCUCUGAUCGAGCGCAUGUGAUUCACCGUGGGCAACUGAGGACACGAGGAUCUAAGGAUCAUCCUGGUACCUGGAA